GUUCGAAAUUGAAAGGCGGCUUCGGCUGUCACUUAUGGAUGGACCCGCGUCGCAUUAGCUAGUUGGUGAGGUAACGGCUCACCAAGGCAACGAUGCGUAGCCGACCUGAGAGGGUGAUCGGCCACACUGGGACUGAGACACGGCCCAGACUCCUACGGGAGGCAGCAGUAGGGAAUCUUCCGCAAUGGACGAAAGUCUGACGGAGCAACGCCGCGUGAGUGAUGAAGGCUUUCGGGUCGUAAAACUCUGUUGUUAGGGAAGAACAAGUGCUAGUUGAAUAAGCUGGCACCUUGACGGUACCUAACCAGAAAGCCACGGCUAACUACGUGCCAGCAGCCGCGGUAAUACGUAGGUGGCAAGCGUUAUCCGGAAUUAUUGGGCGUAAAGCGCGCGCAGGUGGUUUCUUAAGUCUGAUGUGAAAGCCCACGGCUCAACCGUGGAGGGUCAUUGGAAACUGGGAGACUUGAGUGCAGAAGAGGAAAGUGGAAUUCCAUGUGUAGCGGUGAAAUGCGUAGAGAUAUGGAGGAACACCAGUGGCGAAGGCGACUUUCUGGUCUGUAACUGACACUGAGGCGCGAAAGCGUGGGGGAGCAAACAGGAUUAGAUACCCUGGUAGUCCACGCCGUAAACGAUGAGUGCUAAGUGUUAGAGGGUUUCCCGCCCUUUAGUUGCUGAAAGUUAACGCAUUAAGCACUCCGCCCUGGGGGAGUACGGGCCCGCAAAGGUCUGAAAACUUCAAAGGAAAAUUUGAACGGGGGGGG
rnacentral:rRNA from 1 species